rnacentral:rRNA from 1 species
AGAGUUGAUCAUGGCUCAGAACGAACGCUGGCGGCAUGCCUAACACAUGCAAGUCGAACGAGACCUUCGGGUCUAGUGGCGCACGGGUGCGUAACGCGUGGGAAUCUGCCCUUCGGUUCGGAACAACAGUUAGAAAUGACUGCUAAUACCGGAUAAUGACGUAAGUCCAAAGAUUUAUCGCCGAAGGAUGAGCCCGCGUAAGAUUAGGUAGUUGGUGGGGUAAUGGCCUACCAAGCCGACGAUCUUUAGCUGGUCUGAGAGGAUGAUCAGCCACACUGGGACUGAGACACGGCCCAGACUCCUACGGGAGGCAGCAGUGGGGAAUAUUGGACAAUGGGCGAAAGCCUGAUCCAGCAAUGCCGCGUGAGUGAUGAAGGCCUUAGGGUUGUAAAGCUCUUUACCAGGGAUGAUAAUGACAGUACCUGGAGAAUAAGCUCCGGCUAACUCCGUG